rnacentral:rRNA from 1 species
UCGAUUUGGAGUUUGUUGCCUAGAGUGAUGGGCUCCGAAGCUAACGCGAUAAAUCGACCGCCUGGGGAGUACGGCCGCAAGGUUAAAACUCAAAUGAAUUGACGGGGGCCCGCACAAGCGGUGGAGCAUGUGGUUUAAUUCGAUGCAACGCGAAGAACCUUACCUGGUCUUGGCAUCCACAGAAUCUUUCAGAGAUGAGGGAGUGCCUUCGGGAACUGUGAGACAGGUGCUGCAUGGCUGUCGUCAGCUCGUGUUGUGAAAUGUUGGGUUAAGUCCCGCAACGAGCGCAACCCUUAUCCUUUGUUGCCAGCGAUUAGGUCGGGAACUCAAAGGAGACUGCCGUUGAUAAAACGGAGGAAGGUGGGGACGACGUCAAGUCAUCAUGGCCCUUACGACCAGGGCUACACACGUGCUACAAUGGCGUAUACAAAGGGAAGCGAAGGUGCGAGCUGGAGCGGACCUCCUAAAGUACGUCUAAGUCCGGAUUGGAGUCUGCAACUCGACUCCAUGAAGUCGGAAUCGCUAGUAAUCGUGAAUCAGAAUGUCACGGUGAAUACGUUCCCGGGCCU